GUUAAGCGACUAAGCGUACACGGUGGAUGCCCUGGCAGUCAGAGGCGAUGAAGGACGUGCUAAUCUGCGAUAAGCGUCGGUAAGGUGAUAUGAACCGUUAUAACCGGCGAUUUCCGAAUGGGGAAACCCAGUGUGUUUCGACACACUAUCAUUAACUGAAUCCAUAGGUUAAUGAGGCGAACCGGGGGAACUGAAACAUCUAAGUACCCCGAGGAAAAGAAAUCAACCGAGAUUCCCCCAGUAGCGGCGAGCGAACGGGGAGCAGCCCAGAGCCUGAAUCAGUGUGUGUGUUAGUGGAAGCGUCUGGAAAGGCGCGCGAUACAGGGUGACAGCCCCGUACACAAAAAUGCACAUGCUGUGAGCUCGAUGAGUAGGGCGGGACACGUGGUAUCCUGUCUGAAUAUGGGGGGACCAUCCUCCAAGGCUAAAUACUCCUGACUGACCGAUAGUGAACCAGUACCGUGAGGGAAAGGCGAAAAGAACCCCGGCGAGGGGAGUGAAAAAGAACCUGAAACCGUGUACGUACAAGCAGUGGGAGCACGCUUAGGCGUGUGACUGCGUACCUUUUGUAUAAUGGGUCAGCGACUUAUAUUCUGUAGCAAGGUUAACCGAAUAGGGGAGCCGAAGGGAAACCGAGUCUUAACUGGGCGUUAAGUUGCAGGGUAUAGACCCGAAACCCGGUGAUCUAGCCAUGGGCAGGUUGAAGGUUGGGUAACACUAACUGGAGGACCGAACCGACUAAUGUUGAAAAAUUAGCGGAUGACUUGUGGCUGGGGGUGAAAGGCCAAUCAAACCGGGAGAUAGCUGGUUCUCCCCGAAAGCUAUUUAGGUAGCGCCUCGUGAAUUCAUCUCCGGGGGUAGAGCACUGUUUCGGCAAGGGGGUCAUCCCGACUUACCAACCCGAUGCAAACUGCGAAUACCGGAGAAUGUUAUCACGGGAGACACACGGCGGGUGCUAACGUCCGUCGUGAAGAGGGAAACAACCCAGACCGCCAGCUAAGGUCCCAAAGUCAUGGUUAAGUGGGAAACGAUGUGGGAAGGCCCAGACAGCCAGGAUGUUGGCUUAGAAGCAGCCAUCAUUUAAAGAAAGCGUAAUAGCUCACUGGUCGAGUCGGCCUGCGCGGAAGAUGUAACGGGGCUAAACCAUGCACCGAAGCUGCGGCAGCGACGCUGAUGCGUUGUUGGGUAGGGGAGCGUUCUGUAAGCCUGCGAAGGUGUGCUGUGAGGCAUGCUGGAGGUAUCAGAAGUGCGAAUGCUGACAUAAGUAACGAUAAAGCGGGUGAAAAGCCCGCUCGCCGGAAGACCAAGGGUUCCUGUCCAACGUUAAUCGGGGCAGGGUGAGUCGACCCCUAAGGCGAGGCCGAAAGGCGUAGUCGAUGGGAAACAGGUUAAUAUUCCUGUACUUGGUGUUACUGCGAAGGGGGGACGGAGAAGGCUAUGUUGGCCGGGCGACGGUUGUCCCGGUUUAAGCGUGUAGGCUGGUUUUCCAGGCAAAUCCGGAAAAUCAAGGCUGAGGCGUGAUGACGAGGCACUACGGUGCUGAAGCAACAAAUGCCCUGCUUCCAGGAAAAGCCUCUAAGCAUCAGGUAACAUCAAAUCGUA
rnacentral:rRNA from 1 species